GUUACUAAAUCUAAGGAAUUUUGAAGGAUAAAUUCCCAGACUUUAUCCAAAACAUGAAACAAAUUCUUCAAACACAAGCUGCCAAGCUCAUCAACUUGUUCAGAUCCCUGCAACUUUGGUCUCACCAAACUGCUCGCUUAGCUCCUUGAUUGGCUGCUUUAACCCUUCCAGGCUGAUUGGGUGCUGGGCAGGGGGUGGCCUGGAGGGACUGUUCAACAAGCUCAGAGCAUUGGCCCCUCUUGGAAGAUCAGACUUCUGGAAUCGAUUUGGGUCCAGAAUUGCAUUACCCAAGGAAUGUGGAGUAUGCACAGUCCUUGACGGCUUGUGAACCACACUUCCUGAAGCUGGCCACCAGCCAGAGCUGAGGCCAUCAGCAUCUUAAAAAUGAAUUCUUUCUGAGACAAAGAACAAUCCACCCGAUUUCUGAAAUCACUGAAGUAGAAAACUUGCCUGCAGGCAUUGUAAGGCACUGAACAGCCUGGGAUUGUAUCUUGCUGAAACUUAACUGCUCUACUCAGAAGACUGUUUCUCUGUCAAAAAUAUUGCCCAGCAACUGCUCAGAAGACAGGACAGAAAGGACGAGAUGUGCUGUUCCAGGGCUCCAUGCUGUGAACCCGUGGGAAGGAAGAAGAGCCAGGCCAAGGGGAACCAAGGAACCCAGGAUGCAGGACCCAAAAGGUCUUCUGAGGAAGGGCUGAGGUGGUCAGCACAGGCUCCGGAUGCACCGGCUCAGCG